GAUGAACGCUGGCGGCGUGCAUAACACAUUCAAGUCGAACGGACAAGGGGACUUCGGUCCCUGCGUUAGUGGCGGACGGGUGAGUAACGCGUGAGCAACCUGCCCCUGUGUGUGGAAUAGCGUUUGGAAACGAACGCUAAUACCGCAUAAUGCAUGAGGAUCGCAUGGUCUUUAUGCCAAAGAUUUAUUGCACAGGGAUGGGCUCGCGUCCGAUUAGAUAGUUGGUGGUAACGGCCCACCAAGUCGACGAUCGGUAGCCGGACUGAGAGGUUGAACGGCCACAUUGGAACUGAGAAACGGUCCAGACUCCUACGGGAGGCAGCAGUGGGGAAUAUUGGGCAAUGGGCGAAAGCCUGACCCAGCGACGCCGCGUGAAGGAAGACGGUCUUCGGAUUGUAAACUUCUUUUAUAAGGGACGAAGCAUGACGGUACCUUAUGAAUAAGCCACGGCUAACUACGUGCCAGCAGCCGCAGUAACAC
rnacentral:rRNA from 1 species